UGGUGAUUAUAACCAAGUGGUAAUACCUGUUCCCAUUCCGAAUACAGAAGUCAAGCACUUGUGUGACGAAAAUACUCUUUACGGGGAAGAUAGUUCAUUGCCAGUACU
rnacentral:rRNA from 1 species